rnacentral:misc_RNA from 1 species
GAUGAAGAACGUAGUGAAAUGCGAUACGUAAUGUGAAUUGCAGAAUUCAGUGAAUCAUCGAGUCUUUGAACGCACAUUGCGCCCCCUGGUAUUCCGGGGGGCAUGCCUGUCCGAGCGUCAUUGCUGCCCUCAAGCACGGCUUGUGCGUUGGGCCCCCGCCCCCCGGUUCCCGGGGGGCGGGCCCGAAAGGCAGCGGCGGCACCGCGUCCGGUCCUCGAGCGUAUGGGGCUUCGUCACCCGCUCCGUAGGCCCGGCCGGCGCCCGCCGGUGACCCCCCCUCAAUCUUUCCAGGUUGACCUCGGAUCAGGUAGGGAUACCCGCUGAACUUAAGCAUAUCAAUAAGCGGAGGA